CCUGAUGCAGCGACGCCGCGUGGGGGAUGACGGUCUUCGGAUUGUAAACCCCUUUCAGUAGGGACGAAGCGCAAGUGACGGUACCUGCAGAAGAAGCACCGGCUAACUACGUGCCAGCAGCCGCGGUAAUACGUAGGGUGCGAGCGUUGUCCGGAAUUACUGGGCGUAAAGAGCUCGUAGGCGGUUUGUCACGUCGUCUGUGAAAUCCCUCGGCUUAACCGGGGGCGUGCAGGCGAUACGGGCAGACUUGAGUACUACAGGGGAGACUGGAAUUCCUGGUGUAGCGGUGAAAUGCGCAGAUAUCAGGAGGAACACCGGUGGCGAAGGCGGGUCUCUGGGUAGUAACUGACGCUGAGGAGCGAAAGCAUGGGUAGCGAACAGGAUUAGAUACCCUGGUAGUCCAUGCCGUAAACGGUGGGCGCUAGGUGUGGGGUCCUUCCACGGACUCCGUGCCGUAGCUAACGCAUUAAGCGCCCCGCCUGGGGAGUACGGCCGCAAGGCUAAAACU
rnacentral:rRNA from 1 species